CUUCUGAGUCAGUCCACGCUACACGUUGGUCACUGUGCUGGACAGCACCGUGUGUCGAAAUGCGACGGAAGUUAACGGCCAGCGUGUAUCUCCGGGGAAUCCACCGAUAUCCUUUCGAAGAGGCUCGAAUAACUCGAACCGAACACUUUCGUUAGAAAAUUUCUUCGGAAUAAACGUGGUGAAAUACAUUCAGUAGAGCACCGGUUGUCAUCGGACGAGGUGGCCGAGUGGUUAAGGCGUUGGACUGCUAAUCCAAUGUGCUCUGCACGCGUGGGUUCGAAUCCCAUCCUCGUCGAAUUCGCUUUUUGUUACUUUGCGAAAACAUUCUCUAGUUCAUAAGGUACGUAUGAUGGUGUAUAUAUGUAUGUACAUCUAGAGAAAGUUG